ensembl:snoRNA
GAUCAGUAAUGAAAAUAUUCAAAUCUGAGCAUCAGAAGACCUUCUAAUAUACCUGCUUCAUUAUCUCUGUAGUUCUGAGA